CUAAUAUUUUUUACAAAUUGUGGUCAGACCUAUAUGCAUGACUAUUUGAUGUUAGGGUUUGGUUGUUUCAACUUUCUUUCCUGAGGGUAGGUACCAACAUACUAGAACUGCAUAAAAUGAUUUUUUUUCAUAUGUUAUGACCAAUGUAUAACACAUUUCCAAUUGAAAUUUGAAUUACUUUCAAUAAAUGUCUAGAAAUCCAUUAAAUAAAUUAAAAAUAGCACAUCACCUCCAAAAGCCAUGAAAAAUGGGCAUUACUCCUCCAUUAUAAUGUAACUAGUAUUGAAGUUGAAAACGUCAAACUAUCAAUCUUAUUUUGGGUACUUGUCUCACAAAAAAUGUCAAAUUUCACACAUAAAAAAAUUAAAUAAAAAAUUUAUCACAUAAAAUUAAAAAAUUUAGUUGGCAAUCUUGUGUACAAUUGCGAGACCCAUGUUGGUGCAAAAUUUAGUGAUGAAAUGAGAAACUGAGACAUGGAUAAUUGCCUCCAAACCUCUCCAAACCCCUCCAAAUCUCCAGCUCCAAACCCCUCCAAACCCAGCUCCAAACCUCUCCAAACCCCCAUAUCCAAACUCUGGGCCAAACUCUUUCUCUAGCCCAUCUCCAGGCCGAGCCGCCCCAGCCCGGCAACUCGUUCGUUUUCCUCCUCGCACCCCUGCACAUACCACAUCCAUUAGGUUCUGGGGCCGGAUGAUGUCACUUGGAUUACCAUCUUCCCAACCGUGCCUCAUCGAGCCGAGACCAAGGAUCUGAUCCCAUCUCUCCACGAACCGGUUCAGGCCUUAAAUCGCCCGUUUCUCCUUUUCAUCUCUCAAAUUCAACCACGCGCCCCGAAUGUCAACCGUCGGCAUCCACGUCCCGAUCUCCCUCCUAGGCCCGUUAAAACGAAAUUCGAGCGCGGUCACAUUAAGCCUUCAACACUCCUAUGUUAGUUUUCUAUUAAAUGUUUUGCGUUUAAGCCUCUGUAGAUCCCGGUACCUCGACGUCUCUGUCCGCCAUCCGCCGCCACCAUUGUUGACGGUGAGCUCUCUCUAAACCUCCGUUUUUAAAUUCCUUUCACCUGUAGACUCCUGUGACCCUUGCCUACCUCCUUGGCAAGGUUGUGCGAGAGGUUUGUGGCAUUAGCCGCGUCGUCCCUGAAGCAGUGCCGCCGCCCACCGCCGACGAGAGGACCAUGCUGCGGUGCUCCUCCGCCCCAUCCGCUGCUGGCAGCGCGUUUAGAAUGAGC
rnacentral:lncRNA from 1 species